rnacentral:rRNA from 1 species
AGUGAACGCUGGCGGUAGGCCUAACACAUGCAAGUCGAACGGCAGCACAGUAAGAGCUUGCUCUUACGGGUGGCGAGUGGCGGACGGGCGAGGAAUACAUCGGAAUCUACUUUUUCGUGGGGGAUAACGUAGGGAAACUUACGCUAAUACCGCAUACGACCUACGGGUGAAAGCAGGGGAUCUUCGGACCUUGCGCGAUUGAAUGAGCCGAUGUCGGAUUAGCUAGUUGGCGGGGUAAAGGCCCACCAAGGCGACGAUCCGUAGCUGGUCUGAGAGGAUGAUCAGCCACACUAGAACUGGGACACGGUCCAGACUCCUACGGGAGGCAGCAGUGGGGAAUAUUGGACAAUGGGCGCAAGCCUGAUCCAGCCAUACCGCGUGGGUGAAGAAGGCCUUCGGGUUGUAAAGCCCUUUUGUUGGGAAAGAAAAGCAGCAGGUUAAUACCCCGCUGUUCUGACGGUACCCAAAGAAUAAGCACCGGCUAACUUCGUG